UGAAUGAACAGACCCCAGAUGUUUUGAUU
rnacentral:piRNA from 1 species